rnacentral:sRNA from 2 species
UAUCAAAUUGCCUAGAUCUGGAUAUUGGCCCUCCAGCGACAUUGAUAGCGUUUGGCUCUGGUUUCUUAUCACGUUCGACAACGCUCGCUCGGAGAGCGGAAAGUCAUGUCUCUCCGGGCUCGGUUUAAGCGCCUCUGGGGGAAACACCGGACCAGGACCCCCAAAAAUGCUACAACAACUGUGAAUGCAAAUCCGACCCCAGAAUCGCAUUUCCCAAAGUUGGUCCCAGACGAGUCGGCAAUCUUCGUUGCGGCGUCCACCACGGUGCUCGCAAGCUCAGAGAGUUUGAAAGAAACUAGAUCCCUGAAUCCCGGGCCUACACUAGAAACAAUUCACACGCAUAAUGAUACCCCUAGGUCCAGCCAGGACCUGAAAUUGAGCAGCCUCUGGGAUGAAGCAUAUGACGAGCUUCGAAAAGAAAAUGCAAAGCUUGUAGAUGCCUAUGAGCAAGACUUGUUUUCCAUUCAGAACUUGGGACAGCAAGCCCCCAAAGGCGAGGAUAGGGAGAUCCAGCUUCAGAAGCUACUAGAUUCGAAGCUUCAGAACAUUGAGAACUCGCAAAUGAAAAUUUCCAUACAUGGAAAAGACGUUGUUAUCAGAGAUCAGGCUAGGAAGGUCGUACAUUCCAUCCUUUCAGUGAAAGAUUACAUCGGAUCUAUAGCCUUCGCAGAGCCACAUGCGGCCCUAGCUUGGGCAGGAAUUUUAAUUAUUCUCCCAGUUAUUACAAAUCCAAUCACACAAGCUGAAUACGGCACUGAAGGUCUUGAAUAUAUAUCAGAACUUCUGGUUCGGUGUAAGGUAACGGAGGACACCUAUCGUGAGAACCUUGCAUGUGUGCUUGCAACUUCAAGCCCAAGCAUACCAGCAUACCUGGUGGAAUUAAAUGCCUCCUUCAGAGCUAAGACUAUCAGCAUUUACUCACAGAUACUAAAGUAUCAAAUAAGCCUCUCCCAGCAAUGUUCUCGUUCGGGACUAUUUCGCUUCUUGAGAGACUAUGUAAUUGCUGAUGAUUGGCAGGGCAUGCUGGAAAGCAUAAAAGGCACUGAGGAAGACAUCAGCAGAGUUUUGGAUUCAUUUGAUAGCAGAACUUUAAAAAAGAUAGACGAGCAAGUUUCUGUUCUUCGAAGCAACGCGGAUAAAUCCUUAGGUCUCUUGUUAGAGACUAAAGCCGGUGUUGAGAAAAUCAAUCAGGCGCAAUUGCUUGGAAAGCUCUAUCGUGCGGAGUAUGCUGCUUUUAACACAUUCACAAAAGCGGAUCGCCGACCCCC